GAGGCGAUGAAGGACGUGCUAAUCUGCGAUAAGCGCCGGUAAGGUGAUAUGAACCGUUAUAACCGGCGAUUUCCGAAUGGGGAAACCCAGUGUGACUCGUCACACUAUCAUUAACUGAAUCCAUAGGUUAAUGAGGCGAACCGGGGGAACUGAAACAUCUAAGUACCCCGAGGAAAAGAAAUCAACCGAGAUUCCCCCAGUAGCGGCGAGCGAACGGGGAGGAGCCCAGAGCCUGAAUCAGCAUGUGUGUUAGUGGAAGCGUCUGGAAAGGCGCGCGAUACAGGGUGACAGCCCCGUACACAAAAGCGCAUGUGCUGUGAGCUCGAUGAGUAGGGCGGGACACGUGGUAUCCUGUCUGAAUAUGGGGGGACCAUCCUCCAAGGCUAAAUACUCCUGACUGACCGAUAGUGAACCAGUACCGUGAGGGAAAGGCGAAAAGAACCCCGGCGAGGGGAGUGAAAAAGAACCUGAAACCGU
rnacentral:rRNA from 3 species